UUUGCCCCGUUGUUGCCUAUAUAACACGAGAAGCCUCCCGUGUUGCCAUCGCGGCAGCUUACCAUGCUUUCACUUCACUUGUGGCACAAAGCCCCAACAGAAGUAGAUCAACAUUGUGAGAUGGGAGCUGAUGAGCUCCAUACUGUAAGCAAAGUGAAAGUAUCAUACAAUGGGCAAUUAUGCCCAUCUGAUGAGGUCAUUGUCACAAGGAGCAGAAUAUCUUCCCUUAUUCUUCCCUUCCCUUACCUUUGUUUCUCAUUCUCCCCCAGCUAGUCAUGGAGUCUUUCCAGGAUGAAAACUGAGCAAGGAAGCAAUUUGAGUGGCGAACAGAAAUAGUUCAUACAUUACUUCUUCAAAACUUAACAAGCGGCAAAGAUUAUUAGUAUUUCGUUUGGAAUUUUGUAGCCACUAUGGUGACCAAAAACAUUAAAAUGACACAGAACAGGAAGCACUCUCCUGGUAUGAAAAUCAGCUCGACAAGAAAGCAAGCAGGAGCU